UUGAAACACCAGUUCCUGUGGUCACUGAAGUUAAGCAAUGUCGAGCUUGGUCAGUACCUAGAUGGAUAACCACUAGGGAAUACCAGGUGCUGUAAG